ACUUGACCAAUACUGGAGCACGUUAAGGUACAUUCAAGAGCCGGUGCAUGCCCAGUACUUGCCAACAGUGUGUAACUGAGUCGUGACUAACUGCCCAAGGAGCUAACAAGCCGACCAGAGGCGUAGAGAAUAAAGUAAAGUAAGAGUAAAGUACAAUAUCUCUCACUUGUGUCCUAUGUUCAAUCCUCGGCCGGGGACAGAUGUGAGAAGGGCGUUAUUCAGGGUGACACUACCAAAUACGACAGAUUUUCGAUGGUUAUUAAAGUUUCCUUCUUUACUGAUACUUGACAAUAAAGUUCAUAAUAAAUUAACAUAUACACUUACCGCCUGAACGUCCAAUAAGAGGAUAAAAGGUGAAAUGAUAAAUGAAAUGAGCAAGGCACAAAUUUACAUUAAAAAACACGAUUAGAUUUGUACGAAAAAAGCUUAAACUGGCUUUGAAAUGAAUACAUCCUUUGUUUUAUCAGUUUUGGAAAUUUCAAGUUCAUAAAAUAAAUAUAAUCAUAUAAGAAAUAUUAUGGUGUAGCCCCGGGAGCUGAGUUGUCGAAAAUAACACAGUCACUCCUUAAAAAAGUUGAUAGAGAAUGAGAAGACUGGCUUAUACAGCUCAAACCAGGGGAAUUAGGAGCUGUGACGUGUGUUUUAAGUUUAAUUAAGUAAUAUUCAUAUCAUUUAAUUCCUAUUUCUUCUUUAAUUCAUAGUCAUUACUCCCUAAAGUUAUGAUAAACCGUCAUAUAUGAGAAAAACAUACACCAUUUUCUUUUCUAUUGGCCAUAAUCCGUUUUCUAUUGGUCGCCAUUGUUGAGAUUUAACUCUGGCUUUCGGCAGCUCCAAGUGAUUUAGAUUUUAAUAUUUGCCAUAAAACAUUAAUAGAGAUUAAUACGCGUAAUAGUUUUGAGAGGAAGGAAAUGAACUACUCAAGAAGGUAUUAAUUCAGUGUAAAGUAUGAGCCGGAGUCCUUGUGAGGUGACAGGAAGAGAAUCUACGAGGGCCCAGGAGGUGGGCUUUAACAGCACCCGUAAACACCAACACCACUUAAGAGAACACUUGUACCAGCCUCUACAAUAAGAUGGUUGUUGAGUACUGGAGCAACUACCUCACCUGUUGAGUACUGGAGCAACUACCUCACCUGUUGAGUACUGGAGCAACUACCUCACCUGUUGAGUACUGGAGCAACUACCUCACCUGUUGAGUACUGGAGCAACUACCUCACCUGUUGAGUACUGGAGCAACUACCUCACCUGUUGAGUACUGGAGCAACUACCUCACCUGUUGAGUACUGGAGCAACUACCUCACCUGUUGAGUACUGGAGCAACUACCUCACCUGUUGAGUACAG